AGCGAACGUUAGCGGCGGGCCUAACACAUGCAAGUCGAGCGAGAAAGUGGCUUCGGCCACGAGUAAAGCGGCGGACGGGUGAGUAACACGUAGGUAAUCUUCCCUUGAGCGGGGGACAACGAGCCGAAAGGCUCGCUAAUACCGCAUACGUUUCCAGAGGCCCCGGUCUCUGGAAGGAAAGCUAGGCCGCAAGGUCUGGCACUCGAGGAGGAGCCUGCGUCGCAUCAGCUAGUUGGUGGGGUAACGGCCUACCAAGGCGAAGACGCGUAGCUGGUCUGAGAGGAUGAUCAGCCACACUGGGACUGAGACACGGCCCAGACUCCUACGGGAGGCAGCAGUGGGGAAUAUUGGACAAUGGGCGCAAGCCUGAUCCAGCCACGCCGCGUGAGUGAUGAAGGCCUUCGGGUCGUAAAGCUCUGUGGGGAGGGACGAACCGCUGCACGUUCAUAGCGUGCAGCAUGACGGUACCUCCUUAGCAAGCACCGGCUAACUUCGUGCCAGCAGCCGCCGUAA
rnacentral:rRNA from 1 species